CGCUAAAGCUCGAAGGUGCGGGUAUCGAACAGGAUUAGAUACCCUGGUAGUCCGCACGGUAAACGAUGGAUGCCCGCUGUCGGCGAUACAAUGUCGGCGGCCAAGCGAAAGCGUUAAGCAUCCCACCUGGGGAGUACGCCGGCAACGGUGAAACUCAAAGGAAUUGACGGGGGCCCGCACAAGCGGAGGAACAUGUGGUUUAAUUCGAUGAUACGCGAGGAACCUUACCCGGGCUUGAACUGCAGAGGAAUGCGGUGGAGACACCAAAGCCCUUCGGGGUCUCUGUGGAGGUGCUGCAUGGUUGUCGUCAGCUCGUGCCGUGAGGUGUCGGCUUAAGUGCCAUAACGAGCGCAACCCCUUUCGUCAGUUGCCAUCAGGUGAUGCUGGGCACUCUGGCGACACUGCCACCGUAAGGUGCGAGGAAGGUGGGGAUGACGUCAAAUCAGCACGGCCCUUACGUCCGGGGCUACACACGUGUUACAAUGGGUGGUACAGAGAGUCGGUGCAUGGCAAUGUGCAUCCAAUCCUUAAAGCCAUCCUCAGUUCGGAUUGGGGUCUGCAACCCGACCCCAUGAAGCUGGAUUCGCUAGUAAUCGCGCA
rnacentral:rRNA from 1 species